AUUGAACGCUGGCGGCAGGCUUAACACAUGCAAGUCGAGCGGAGUGAUGGUGCUUGCACUAUCACUUAGCGGCGGACGGGUGAGUAAUGCUUAGGAAUCUGCCUAUUAGUGGGGGACAACAUCUCGAAAGGGAUGCUAAUACCGCAUACGUCCUACGGGAGAAAGCAGGGGAUCACUUGUGACCUUGCGCUAAUAGAUGAGCCUAAGUCGGAUUAGCUAGUUGGUGGGGUAAAGGCCUACCAAGGCGACGAUCUGUAGCGGGUCUGAGAGGAUGACCCGCCACACUGGGACUAAGACACGGCCCAGACUCCUACGGGAGGCAGCAGUGGGGAAUAUUGGACAAUGGGGGGAACCCUGAUCCAGCCAUGCCGCGUGUGUGAAGAAGGCCUUAUGGUUGUAAAGCACUUUAAGCGAGGAGGAGGCUCUUUUGGUUAAUACCCAAGAUGAGUGGACGUUACUCGCAGAAUAAGCACCGGCUAACUCUGUGCCAGCCGCCGCAGUAA
rnacentral:rRNA from 1 species